rnacentral:rRNA from 1 species
CCUACGGGCGGCAGCAGUGAGGAAUAUUGGUCAAUGGCCGGAAGGCUGAACCAGCGAUGCCGCGUGAAGGUCAGUGCCCUAUGGGCGUUAAACUUCUUUUGUGCGGGAGCAAUAAUGGUCACGUGUGGCCAGACGAGAGUACCGUACGAAUAAGCAUCGGCUAACUCCGUGCCAGCAGCCGCGGUAAUACGUAGGUGGCAAGCGUUGUCCGGAAUUACUGGGUGUAAAGGGAGCGUAGGCGGGAAAGCAAGUUGAAUGUUUAAGGUACGGGCUCAACCUGUACAAGCGUUCAAAACUGUUUAUCUUGAGUGGAGUAGAGGUAAGCGGAAUUCCUAGUGUAGCGGUGAAAUGCGUAAAUAUUAGGAGGAACACCAGUGGCGAAGGCGGCUUACUGGGCUUUAACUGACGCUGAGGCUCGAAGGCGUGGGUAGCAAACAGGAUUAGAUACCCCAGUAGUC